rnacentral:miRNA from 1 species
GCUGGUGAGAAUGUAGCCAGGCCCAAGGCGGACAAUAUCGGCUACGGCGGAGCCGGUCCGGGGUGUGACACUGCUGGCUCUGAUACCAAAUUGUCACACCCCGGACCGGCUCCGCCGUAGUGCGAAAUUGUCCGCUUUGGGCCUGGCUACAUUCUCACCAGC